rnacentral:tRNA from 1 species
GCCGGAGUGGCGGAACUGGCAUACGCGACGGACUCAAAAUCCGUUGGGCGAAAGCCCUUGUGGGUUCGAAUCCCACCUCCGGCA